ACAGCCUGAAUGAGAGGGAAGCAAGGAGAUGACGCCCUUAGCUCUGAAAAGACAUUUUCCCAAGCAGCUGGCAAGGCCCCCGCCUGCUCCGGGGGAUUUUCCAAUCUGCUCCAGAAAGGGCCAGCUCCGAGCAUGUUGGGAGCAUUCAGGGACAUGGCGAGGCCCACUUCGCGAGCCCUGGCCGUGAGCACAGCGCGUCUGCAGGUCCUUUCUCCUGCUUUUCCCUUUCCCCUCCUGCUUUUCCUGGCGACAGGGUGAUCAGAGACGGGGAGCGAAGAGCCUCCCAGAGCCCUUCUCCCCUUGGCAGCCUUCGGCCGCAUCCGAGACCUCGGCCCAGCAAACGCAGCCUCCCUGCGUGGCACAGAGCUCUACCGGAAAGACGCAGGUUUGGGAGAGAAGCAAGAUCUUCCGUCCCAAGCGUGGAACGACUGUGCUCAGAACUGGGAACCCAGGACACAGAAUGAAUGGCUGACCUGCCUCGUACGCUGUGGACAUUUGCUCUCGAGGCCCGGGAUGUCCGCUGCCCAGCAGCUGCAAGCCGGCCCGCCUGUGGUUCCCUAAAGAUCAGGACGGAUGGGGAAAAGCGCCCUUCUUAGGUGAAAGCAUCAGCUCGUUUCUACGUGUCAGCACUGGGAGAAGAUGUGGGGUCAGUGUCUUCACCAGGGAGCUGGUGCGAGGAUCAGCCCGUGAGAUGACAGACUCGGCGCCCUGCCAGAUGCUGUAAAGCGUGGAACUGUGUCAUCGAUGGUUAAGGAGAAAACAGGGUUUUGCAAAGGCACAACUAGAAGGAUGAAGGUGGCUGAAUAUUUGUCUUCUGAGUGAUACGGACUUUCCUUGAAGAAUGGCGUAUUUACGAGUGUCAGCCUGCCACCCGUUACUGCGAUUAGGUUCUUCAGCAACCGAGGAGGAAUGAGGAGGACUCAGACGGAUUUCGAAGAAUGGCAUGACUAAUGUACAAACAAGAGCGAAAGGGAGUGUUGGAAAAACUCAGGGACACUGAAGACUGAAGUGGGUUGAAAACAAAUCAGAACGUGAGUUCUCCCACUUGAGUGCGAGCAGAAUUUGUUUUUCAGAAGUAAUUUUUAAGGAUUCACUUGGAGAAGGAAGAGGGAUUUUCCUUUACGCUUUUGGAUCGGAUGGCUCUGUGUUGCGAACGGUUUUCUCGCGGCCUUCAAGAAUUUGUUUGGUACCCACUUGUUCAAAACCCAAGGGCAAACAGCCAAGUCCCCUUAAAGCUGUCCGCCCGGGACUACGGGAGUCAGUUUGAAACGUCUUCGUUUUAAGAAGGUGGCAGAAUUACAUAAUUAUUCACAGCUCAUAAGAAAUUAAAAUACCUCUUCCAAAUAUGAAGUCGCGAGAUAACACAAACCACAAGUCCUAGACUCUCGGAGGGCGUGUGCCUCGUUUGUGCUCCCACACACAAACCCACAGCCGACCGUCUGCGCUGAGAGCACGUGGCCCCACUGAGAGCACGUGGCCACGCUGACCUCGCUUCCCUCGUGUUCCUCCGCACACAGCAGGGCUCUUGCCCAGGGCCUCCCUUGGCGACGCCGAGGGACCGAAGAUGCCAAAUGCUGGAGAGGCGGGAGGUCACCACAAGGCACCUGGGACCACAGACGCACUCUCUUCCACUCAUGGCCAGGGUGCACGAGGAAUUUGACCCCUCCAGGGACUUCGUAUCAGUGGAAUCCUAAGAUGUCCUUUUGUGUCUGGCUUAUUUCAGUGAGUAUAGUGUCUUCAAGGUACAUGUGUCAGAAUCACCUUCCUUUUUAAGUUCAAGCUGAAUAACAUUCCAUCGUAGGAAUAGCCCAGCUUGUUUAUUCAUUCGUCCGUUGAUGGCCAUUUCGGCUGUUUCCGUCUCGUGGCUGUUCUGAGGCACGCGGCCGUGCACGUGGUGUCCAGUUCUUCUUCGAGUCCUGCUGUCGGUUCUUUCAGACGUUUCUGCAGCGGUUGCACCCUUUCGCAUUCCUGAGGUCCCACUUCUGCACGUGCUCACCAGCACUUGUUAUUUGAUGUAUUCUGGUAGUCCCAUUGCUGUGACCGUGAGACCGUCACACAGACGCAGUCUCUAAACUUCCCUCUGCGAGCACGAGAAGCAGCCCCUUGGUCAGGCAGGGCCGGGGGUGGGGCGGNNNNNNNNNNNNNNNNNNNNNNNNNNNNNNNNNNNNNNNNNNNNNNNNNNNNNNNNNNNNNNNNNNNNNNNNNNNNNNNNNNNNNNNNNNNNNNNNNNNNNNNNNNNNNNNNNNNNNNNNNNNNNNNNCCUGUGGCUGCGGGUCAGGUCGUGGGUGGGGAAGGGGUGUCAGGAGGGGGCUGGAGUGUCUCCUGGGGCCACACUUCCCUGGCCUUCAGCCUGAAGCUCAGGAGUCGGAUAUUUCUCCCAGGAGCUAAGAGAAGAUUUUACGUCGGGGACAAUCUGGCUAGACACGUAUGGUUCGGAAGUCAGGCUGCCCACAGCCGCGUGCAGGGUACGGGAGAAGAAGAGACUCUGGGAGGCCAGUGUGGACACGGCAGUGGUGGAUCCGUCUGCCAUGAGGCACUGAGCUGGACGAUGGCAUCUGUUAGCUGUGCCUCCUUGCCAGCCCCCAGGGGCCACACGUCCUUAUGCACAACAGGUGCUGGGGACGCAGUCCCCAUUUGGAAACUCACAGAUGAGGCGGAAAUAAGACUACCACGGGGAAGGGGAGAGGAGCUAGGCGCAUUCUGGGCAGAAAUCUUCAGUUUCUGGAAGCUGUGAAGGUGAUAACAGGAACAUCUGAAGACGCAGAAGCUGCUCAUCUUAGUAGCUUGGCCAACAAGAAGGACGGGGUUAAAUUCCCUCCCGAGAAAAGUGUGUUCACCGAGCUUCGCGUUUCCCUCCGUCCUUUCCCCCUUGCCUUCCUGCUAUGGACACGACAGCGUGACGCUGCAGAAAGGAUGAAGUCCAGAAAACAGAAGACUUCUGUUUGUUUUUCACUGUGGCGCUGAUGGCUUCCUCUGUGCUCAGAUUUGGGUCCGCCUCUGGGUAGUUGGCAAAGCGAGAUGUGCCAUUUGUCAUUAAAAAAAUAAAAACAUUCAAAGU
rnacentral:lncRNA from 1 species